AGCCUGAACGCUGGCGGCGUGGCUAAGACAUGCAAGUCGUACGGGUGUAGCAAUACAUCAGUGGCGGACGGGUGAGUAAUGUAUCGCUAACGUGCCCCCCAGUCCGGGAUAGCCGAGGGAAACUUCGGGUAAUACCGGUUGACAUCACGAUCAGGCAUCUGAUUGUGCUCAAAGGGAAACCGCUGGAGGAGCGGGCGAUAUCGUAUCAGCUAGUUGGCGGGGUAACGGCCCACCAAGGCGACGACGCGUAGCCGGACUGAGAGGUUGGCCGGCCACAUUGGGACUGAGACACUGCCCAGACUCCUACGGGGGCUGCAGUAACGAAUCUUCCGCAAUGCACGCAAGUGUGACGGAGCGACGCCGCGUGUGGGACGAAGCCCCUCGGGGUGUAAACCACUGUCAGGGGAUAGAAAGUUCUGAUCAUCCCCAGAGGAAGGCACGGCUAACUCUGCGCCAGCAGCCGCGGUAA
rnacentral:rRNA from 1 species